UUGCAGUUUUCAGUAAGCUUUAAAGUAAAAUUUUUAAAAAUAGAAAAAUGAUGGCUAAAUAUAGACAUUUUCAGAAAAACAAAAGGUAAGGAAAUGUGUUGGCACUGGACCUGAACUGCGGGAAAUGCUUAGGAAGUUCCCAGGGCUGAAGAGAAAUGAUCCCAGAUGGGAGCCUGCAUCUGCUGGAAGGGACAAAAGCACUGGAAAUGCAAGUUCAAGGGCAAACACUUGGAACCUCACUGUUACCACUGAUGGAAAAAAUCAGCUUGAGAAGCUUAAAAUAUAUAUUAGGAAAAAGGGGGAGUGGAGACGAGAGCAUUCAUUCAACAUAUGGAGAGAGAAAGCUCACGCUAAUCAAAAGUCAUGACUCUUAAGACCAUUUGCCAAUGGGGAGGCUUCAAAUCACUCCAACAAGUUGACUACCCUGAGGACAGUGUGUAUAGAAAACGCUUCCUCCCAGCUUUUGACCUUCAUUAGGGGUCCUUGUAAGUUGACUGUUGAUUCAAGUUCAUCUGGAAGUGAGGUAUGGAAAUGUGAGUGAGUGAUCUGUAUCACCAUAAAUGAUCUACCCAGGCUACUAGGAAUUUUAAUCAUCUGUGACCCUGAAAUUAAAGGGGAAAAAAGAGGUUUUUAUACUCAAGCAGGAAAACUGUGAUACCUUUGUCUGUGUCUGUACCUGUGUUGGUUUGGCCUCACUGUGCUUCAGGCACAUGAACUUGGGUCCAACAACAAUAAGAAACCUGAAAAAAAAAGUUGCUGAUGUACAAACCCACUUGACCUUCAAUUAGCACCAUUUGUGUAGCUGAAGGGGUUUACUCCCCAGGAUGUCUGUUAAAUUGAAGGACCAAGAUUCCCUUACAAGCACCACCUCCUUGAAGUUACUCUCGUGGCUCAGUGGUUAACAAAUCCGACUAGGAACCAUGAUGUUGA